rnacentral:tRNA from 1 species
GCACCCAUAGCUCAAUUGGCAGAGCCGCUCCCUCUUAAGGAGAAGGUUCCAGGUUCGACUCCUGGUGGGUGCACCA